rnacentral:tRNA from 1 species
UGCCGACUUAGCUCAGUUGGUAGAGCAUCGCUCUUGUAAAGCGGAGGUCGAAGGUUCGAACCCUUUAGUCGGCAUC